ACACACACACACACACACACUUGUUUACCUUUAUUUCUAUUGCAAGAAUAAUUCCAUUGGUAAAACUUUCUUAUUAAGUAUGGUUUAGUUUCACACCGGCUCUAAAUGGCAACUUAGUGGAAGAUAUAAAUAUUAAUUUGUGGAAUUUUAUCAGGCUAUGAUUACCCUAAUGCAACAAUUACGCUUUUGAAACUACAGAUUAAUAUAGCCAGUUGUUUAUAUACUACUUCAGAGCACAAAUCAUUAGCAAUAAACUCACUGGCUCAAGUCUUAAAGCCAUUGGAAUCCCUGUGAGUCCAACAGAAAUUGAGUUUGUGUCUCUAGAUAGGUUAUCCACAUGUGUUUGUGGAAGUGGUCAAGAAUAAUUCCAUAGAGCGCUAACACAUCUUAUUAUUUUAUGUUAUCUGAUACUAGUUUUCUUAUCGUUACUUGCAAGGUAUCCAUGAGAAUGUGUAUGACAGUGUGGCCAUAAAGCUGAGAUGUAGGUGGCCUGAUGCCAACUUCAGCUUCACUUUCCAUCUGGCAUUGUCCAGCCUUUUUCUUUUUUUUGCCAGCUGUUCCCUCAUCUCUCCAUCCCUUUGGGUCCUUGUCUGUUUCUCCACAUCCUGUUCUGUCAUUCCAUUGUGUUUUCUUCCUCUCUCAUAAUUAGACAUGGGCACAAACCAAAAAAAAUUACUGAACCAGAGGAUCGUGGUUCGGUGCAGACCAUGAUCCUGAAUUCCCGAACAGCAACGAACAUCUCCCGUUCCCGAACUGAACCGUGGAUCGUGGAGGUCACAGCGGAGGGGCGCCCCGCUGUUCCCAGCGAACCAGAGGAGAUAGAUUCCUAUCCACCAAAGCCAAGCUCAAUUGUACUCUCUCAGUCUCUCUCUCCAAAGGCUAGCAAGUGGCAAGCAAGAGCUCUGUCCCACUCCACUGCUAGCAGAAAGUGAAACCCAGCCUGGGAGCCCAUGGCUAUUUAUAAGCAUGGGUCCCAUUCAGCAACACAGGAGGUCUGUGUUUGUCCGUCAGAGCUGCCUAUCAGGGUUUGCAGGGAUGAGAUUGGAGUGCCCAUGGCUACAGAACACCCCCUCCCUCCCCUGGGUGUCUUCUUCCAACUUGUAACUGCUUUGCAGCUCCGUGGUUGGAAGGAAGCCCUGCUGAUCAAGGAAAGCUGGCCUUCCAUUCGGGUUUCUAGGGUGACAGAAGGAGGGCAAAUAGAGCUUAGGCAUUCCCCUGGCUCCGUUGCCAGGGGAAUAGAUUGCUGGCGCCUGAGUGUCUGGAUUCCCGAACUGAGCCCGAACGCCCCGAACCGGGCUCUCCCGACCACUGGAUCGUUGGCCAUGGCCGAUCACGAUCCACCAGGUCACAAUUGCGUGAUCGCCAUUUUCAUGGGGUUUUGACGUUCGUAAUGUGGUUCGUGCCCAUCUCUACUCAUAAUACUAGAUAGGGGCAUCCAAUGGUUGAUGGGCAAUAGGUUCAAGAUGGAAAAAAGGAAGCAUUUCUUCACUUAAUGAGUAAUUGGGUUGUAGACCUGAUGGAUCACUUGUCUGAUCCAGCAAGGCAGUUCUUAUGUGUCAUGUAACAGCUGGGGUGAUUCAUAUUGAUUCAUACUGUGGUUCAGUUUGAUUCAGACUGAAGUUUAAUCCCCCAAAGACAGAUCUGAUCUAGGGUUUUAGGGUGUCCUCUGUUCUAGAUGGGGUUGCACUUGAAGGAACAGGUAUGUAAUUUGGAAGUGGUGUUGGACCCAGGCUUACUGCAGAUAAGUAUUGGGUGGGUAGCCAUGUUGGUCUGCAGUAGAACAUCAGGGUUUGAGUCCUGAGGCACCUUAGAGACCAAUAAUAUUUUCAGAGUGUAAGAGGGAGCUCUGACUCCUGAAAGCUUACACCCUGAACAUCUUAUUGGUCUUUAAGGUGCCACUGGGCUCAAACCCUGCUGCAGGAUAAGUAGGUAGCAGCUGUGGCCAGGAGUGCCUUUUACUAGCUUCAACUGGUUAGCCAGCUGCAGCCUUUCCUGGGCAAAAAAGAUUAAGACACUGUGGUGCAUGCCCUGAUUACAUCUGGAUUAGAUUACUGUAAUGUUCUCUGUGUGGGUCUGCCCUUGAAAUGUGUUCAGAAAUGUGUAUUGGUGCAGAAUGCUGCAACCAGGGUUAUUGACUGGAGUAGGCUGUGGGGACGAUAUCACUCCAGUCUUGACUCAUCGUCACUUGCUCCUAAUUUGUUUCUGGGCACAAUUCAAGGUGCCAGUGUUGAACUUUAUGACUUGGGACCAACAUACCUGAAGGACUGCAUAAUCCCUUAUGAAGCUGCCCAAUCACUGUGGUCAUCUUCUCAGGCCCUGAUUUGGUUGCCUCUGCCUUCUGAGAUUAGGCAGAUGGCAACUCAGGGGAUAGAGCCUUCUGGCACCAAAAUUCUGGUGAAAACAAAAUUCUUUGUUUUAGGUGAAGUUUUUUUUUGCUCUGUUUGCCAUUCUCUCAGCGAUCACUCCUUCUUGGCCUAUUUUUUAAUUGUCAGGGCUCAUUUCGAGGGGGAACACACAGGAACGCAGUUCCAGCAGUUCCCCGAAGAGGUCACAUGUCAGUUGGCCCUGCCCACCUGACUCUUGGCCAUUUUGGGCCUGUUUCAUCCUGGAUUGGGGCCAAAAUGGCCCGGAUCCGGGUGGUGGAUCACUCUCCUCUUUAGCAACAACCUGAUCCUGACCAUUUUGGGCCCCUUUUUGGCCAUUUUCAGCCCCUUUUUGCUAUUUUGGGCCCAAUUUCGGUCCUGAAUGGCCAGGAUUGGGUCCAAAACAGCCAGGAUAGGUGAUGUCAGGGGGUGUGGCAUAUGCAAAUCAGUCAUGCUAAUGACACAUUUCCGGUGAUGUCAAGGGAUGUGCCAUAUGCUAAUGAGUUAUGCUAAUGAGUUCCUCCAGUUUUUUUCUAUGAAAUGACCCCUGUCAAUUGUUAUUUGUAUGUUGUUGUAUGUACAUUUUACCGUGAACUGAAUAACUCAAGCAAGCCUGAAGUCAUCAGAUCAUGGAAGCUAAACAGGAUUGGCUGUGGUUAGUAAUUGGAUGGGAGAUCUCCAAAGAAGACCAGAGUUAUAGAGUGUUUCACCUUUCAGAGAAGAUGCUUUUCCUGACAGCACUGACCAAGCAACUCAGAAGAAGGCAGACAAAUAUAGCUGUCCUGUGAAAUCUCACCUGAGCUCAGUUCCCACAAUUGAAGCUGACGACUUACCGGCAAGCUGGGUUGGCACCGGGUGCAGGACGAAGUGGAGGCAGGAUUAGUUGGAGGAGGAGGAGCGUCCAUCCUGCACUGGCCCAGCCGCAUGGUCAGCGCCAUUAUACCUGAGCAUCCGCAGGAGCAGCUGGUCACCCUCCGGCCCUCCACUGAUUAAGGACUAUUGGGGGGCACUGUCACAACUUUAUGGGUUGCCGGUUUUUGAAGCAUUGGGCCAGAUCCCAACAAGGUGAGUGGGCCUUCAGGACUGCUCACCCCGACGGAUCUGGAGGCAAGGGUUGCCAGGCAGGGCCGGCUAUGGAAGAACGUGUGCCAAGGUGCCACUGGGAGAGCUGGCGGGUGAUGCAUCGGUCGGCAGCCAGGCCUCUGAUGCCAACAGGGAUUUGUGCCCAGAUGCCAGGCCAAUACUCCAUCCAGCUGUAAUCAAUAAA